UUUUGUUCGCCUUCUCCCCUUGCAUUAUAUUAUCAUAUAUUCUUCUCAUACCCCUUCUCAAAGACUCUCUUCACUCCAGCCAUCACACAUUCUUUAUUGGAAUCUCUAAAAUGAUUGGAUAAAAUCUAUCUCUUUGUUACGUAUUUGGAAUUAGGGUCUGUUUAUUUAUUUGGAAAAGAGAAUUUAUUUAUUUAUUCUCUUAAGUCGCUCCUGCGUUGUUUCUCCUCCAAUUUUCUCUACAAUCUCUCCAGUCAUCUUCAGCAACUCUGAUUGUCUAUUGUGUUCUCUGGUAUCACUAGAUAUCGGGGCAAAUGCCUUUAUUUUGGGUUGGAUUUGUUUUUGUUCUUCGAUUUUCAUCUUUGCUUGUUAUUCUGCUCAUGUUUGAGUUUUUGUUCUUGUAUUGUUAUUGUACUGCUUGAAUCAGGCAUUACGUAUUUGGGCCAUAUAAGCAUAGACUUCUUGGCUACUUUAAUCCAUUCCUAGAUUCAUCAAUUCAAAUGUUAUAUAUAUAUAUAUAUAUAUAAAUGUGUCAAUAUAAAAAAAUUAAUUUAAUCUCCUCGUUCAAAGUUUAGUUCUUCUAUUGUGCUAUCACUCACAGUAACUAUCUCUCACUACUUAUAUAAUCUUUUUGCUUUGGUUUAUUACUCUUAUUGUUAUAUUUUCCAUAUGUGAUUUUAAAUAAUCGAAGCCAUAAGUGCUGGGAAUUUUGUAUUUAGGUUUCUUUUAUUAAUAUAUAUUCCUUCAGUGAGUGAAAUAGUUUUAUUUUUGCUUUGGGUUUAUCAAGUGCUUUGAGUUAUAUUAUUUUGUGUUUUUAUAUCUGUGAUUCAUUUUGCUUAAAGUAUUGAGUUUUCUUGUAUCAUUUAUGAUUGAUUUUAUGCUUUCAAUCACCAUUAUUUUAUUCUCUUUUUGUAAUUUUGGAAUCUCGUGAUGUUCAAUUUAGCUUUUGGUAUCAUGAGGUUUUCUUCUUUGAAUAGUUUAAUUGUGUUGCUUCUAGUAUCAUUAUUCUAAUUUUGCAUCACAGACAUUAUACUUGGUUGUAUAAAAUGCCAUAUUUCAAGCACACUCAUAACUUUAAUAUCGUAAACUACAAAACGAUAUAUCUAGGAAGUUUUCCAUUCUUUUGGGUUUAUUUUAUGUGAUAUCAUUAUAUAUCAGGUAAGAAAGAUUUGAAAUAGAUAAAAGUUCUUAAAAACUUAUUUUAUGAAUUUAACAAGGUUACUAUAUUUUUUUAUGUAGGUUUCUAUACUUUCAAUUGGUCGAAAGAGAGAUAAAUCACUUUUUUUGUUUCAUUGAGCCAGUUUGGCUAUCAAAGAUUGGCUCCACUGAAGAGGAACAAGUUGAAUGGGUAUCAAAUCACAUCAUAGAUUCAAUCAGGGUCAAAUGUGGUUACUGUUAUACCAUUUGAGUGAGCAUUGGGCUUGUAAUAAUUGAUUUUGAUCAUCAAUUAUGCUAUUAUUUGGAUUUUCUUGGAAAUUUCCCACCAGGCGAAAUUAAAUCUUUCAUUUCUAGUGUCUUUCAAAAUUUGCACACAAAUAAUGCGACAACUAAGGAAGUUGUGUGGAGAAGUGUUAAGUGUCCUCUUCUACCAGUAAAAUUCAUUCAAUGUGGAUUCUACGUUAUUAGGAUGAUAAAAGAGUGUUUCAUGAAUGAGGCUUCAAUGAAAUGGCUAACUAGUUAUUGGGAAGGGGAAAACAAUACUACCCGAGAAUCCUAGUCUGGUAUAUGACUCGUCUGAGGAUGAAAACGUCAUGUGGGAAAACAACACCUUUGACGUCUACGCUUCGGGAGGCAAAAACACUAGACAUAGCAUCAAAAGACUAACCACUAUGAGGUGGUCAAGCUUCAAGAUGACAUGGUUGCGAGUCAGAAGGAGGCCAAUGAGCUGGAGGACAGGGUGAAACAACUCGAGGAGAUUAAUGAGAGCAACCUGGAAAGGUUUCAAGGUGCAACAUUCACUUGCUUUUACAUGUUUUGGAUGAAAAAUCAAUGUGCAAACUUUGAUUAUCUUCCCAAGAAGAUAAGGGAGUCUGAGCUUGCUCGAUGCACCGCUCAAUUGGAGGAGGAGAAAAAUGCUCCUGCAUCUCAUGAGAUUUCUUUGGCUACGACGAUCAAUGGAAAGGAGGAGGCUGGAGCAACUAUUGACCAACAACUCCAUCAAGAUCCUCUUGCUCAGUGAAAUAAUUUAUUUUCUUUUAUUUUGUAAUUAUAAAACCUGAAAAACCUAUUUGUGGUGUUGAAACAAUUUACUACCCAAGGCAGUUUAACUUUUAUGCCAGUUUUUUAAUUACAUCCGAGGAGUACUGCUCGUGGUGUAAAGACAUCUCUUUUUUAAUAUUAUAAUUGUUACUAUAACAUCUGCUCGGAUGGCCGAGCCUAGCAUAACACUGUAUACUUUUGUGCAAAAGCUAUAAAUUUUGAUAUAUAUUGAAAGUGUU